rnacentral:piRNA from 2 species
UGCAAAAGUCCUGCAAUCGUCCUGU